rnacentral:rRNA from 1 species
UACGUAGGGGGCAAGCGUUGUCCGGAAUCAUUGGGCGUAAAGAGCGUGUAGGCGGCCCGGUAAGUCCGCUGUGAAAGUCCAGGGCUCAACCCUGGGAUGCCGGUGGAUACUGUCGGGCUCGAGUCCGGAAGAGGAGUGUGGAAUUCCUGGUGUAGCGGUGAAAUGCGUAGAUAUCGGGAGGAACACCUGUAGCGAAGGCGGCACUCUGGGCCGAUACUGACACUGAGGAGCGAAAGCUAGGGGAGCAAACAGG